GUCCACGCCCUAAACGAUGUCAACUGGUUGUUGGGGGAUUUAUUCUCUUAGUAACGAAGCUAACGCGUGAAGUUGACCGCCUGGGGAGUACGGUCGCAAGAUUAAAACUCAAAGGAAUUGACGGGGGCCCGCACAAGCGGUGGAUGAUGUGGAUUAAUUCGAUGCAACGCGAAAAACCUUACCUACCCUUGACAUGUCCGAAAGCCUGAAGAGAUUUAGGUGUGCUCGAAAGAGAAUCGGAACACAGGUGCUGCAUGGCUGUCGU
rnacentral:rRNA from 1 species